UCGUAACAAGGUUUCCGUAGGUGAACCUGCGGAAGGAUCAUUACCGAGUGAGGACCUAACCGGUCCAACCUCCCACCCGUGUCUAUCGUACCUUGUUGCUUCGGCGGGCCCGCCAUUCGUGGCCGCCGGGGGGCAUCUCGCCCCCGGGCCCGCGCCCGCCGGAGACACCAACACGAACACUGUCUGAAGGUUGCAGUCUGAGUCGAUUUAUUUAAUCGUUAAAACUUUCAACAACGGAUCUCUUGGUUCCGGCAUCGAUGAAGAACGCAGCGAAAUGCGAUAAUUAAUGUGAAUUGCAGAAUUCAGUGAAUCAUCGAGUCUUUGAACGCACAUUGCGCCCCCUGGUAUUCCGGGGGGCAUGCCUGUCCGAGCGUCAUUGCUGCCCUCAAGCACGGCUUGUGUGUUGGGUCGCCGUCCCCUUCCCGGGGGACGGGCCCGAAAGGCAGCGGCGGCACCGCGUCCGGUCCUCGAGCGUAUGGGGCUUUGUCACCCGCUCUGUAGGCCCGGCCGGCGCCUGCCGACCACCAACCUUUUUUUUACCAGGUUGACCUCGGAUCAGGUAGGGAUACCCGCUGAACUUAAGCAUAUCAAUAA
rnacentral:misc_RNA from 1 species